rnacentral:rRNA from 1 species
CCACGGGGGGCAGCAGUGAGGAAUAUUGGUCAAUGGGCGGAAGCCUGAACCAGCCAAGUCGAGUGAGGGAAUAAGGCCCUACGGGUCGUAAACCUCUUUUGCCGGGGAGCAAGGGCCGGGACGCGUCCCGGCCCGGAGAGUACCCGGAGAAAAAGCAUCGGCUAACUCCGUGCCAGCAGCCGCGGUAAUACGGAGGAUGCGAGCGUUAUCCGGAUUUAUUGGGUUUAAAGGGUGCGUAGGCGGGCUUUUAAGUCAGCGGUAAAAAUUCGGGGCUCAACCCCGUCCGGCCGUUGAAACUGGGGGCC